GACGAACGCUGGCGGCGUGCUUAACACAUGCAAGUCGAACGGAAAGGCCCUGCUUUUGUGGGGUGCUCGAGUGGCGAACGGGUGAGUAACACGUGAGUAACCUGCCCUUGACUUUGGGAUAACUUCAGGAAACUGGGGCUAAUACCGGAUAGGAGCUCCUGCUGCAUGGUGGGGGUUGGAAAGUUUCGGCGGUUGGGUAUGUACUCGCGGCUUAUCAGCUUGUUGGUGGGGUAGUGGCUUACCAAGGCUUUGACGGGUAGCCGGCCUGAGAGGGUGACGGGCCACAUUGGGACUGAGAUACGGCCGAGACACCUACGGGAGGCAGCAGUGGGGAAUAUUGCACAAUCGGCGGAGGCGUGAUGCAGCAACGCCGCGUGCGGGAUGACGGCCUUCGGGUUGUAAACCGCUUGCGCCUGUGACGAAGCGUGAGUGACGGUAAUGGGGAAAGAAGCACCGCCUAACUAGGU
rnacentral:rRNA from 1 species